UUGAAAUCUGUUGGGCUUCGCCCGCGCAGGUUCGAACCCUGCUGUCGACGAUUUUUACUUUUAUUUCAUUCAAAUCUCAGUUUGGGAGCUGAGAAAAAAACGCAGGAAAAUUUUUCUUUUUUUCUUUCUCAGAAAUAAGCACAAACUAUUUCUUUUUGCUCGCGAAACUUUCUCGGCAACCAAACAGAUCCUCAACUCAGAUGGAAGACAAAACAGCGACCGCGAUAACGAGCCCUAAGAGCACACAAGAGCUGGCCAUGGAUGGCCAGAAGGUUCUGGAAGAAACCAUAGAGUCCGCUUUCCAAAUCCUCACCUCCAUGAACGACGAGCUCUGCAACCCUUCCUUGUGGUGCACCUCCACUAUUUCUUCUGCUGCUACUACGAAUGGUCCUUCCUCUCAAUCCUCAAACGGCGUCGUCCUUAACGGUGACGUGGCUUCUUCCGAUAAUUCCGCGCAUCACGGCGAGAGUGGCGGCGGCGGAAGUGGAGGAGCUCUCGAAGAGGCUCGGGGUCGGUACAAGAACUCGGUGAACUCGCUCCGUACGAUUCUCUCCGCGAUUCCGAACUCGCACAAGUCGAAAGCAUUUGAAAUGGACUCAACUCCAGGCGGCCCGCUAUCCCCAGAGGCUGACAUUGAGAAGUUAGAAGAGCGAGCCUCUAAUCUAAGAAAGGAGCUUGCAAACAAGAACAACUAUCUCAAGGUUCUCAUAGAUCAGCUACGAGAUCUUAUUACUGACAUAUCUACAUGGCAAAGUCCUUGUGCUGUCUGAAGUUCAGGAUGGAUAGCUUCAUCCUAAAUAAUGGUGCCGCCUAAGAAUAGACUUAGCCCAUAUUUCGACAUGAGUCAGGUUGAUCUAUUCCUCAAUACAGCAGCGUCUGAAAACUACAUAAACAUGAGCACCAAUAUGUUUUGCGUGAAUAAGCAAGUGGUUAGCGUUGGCAUCGUAUCAUUUUGCGGCCAGCUCUGUAGCCACAGAGCUACAUGAGAGUGGCAAUGCUGUUAGGACAUUGAUUUAUGCUAUUCUGAUUUGCAUGGGCGGCUGCGGCUAAUUGCUUCGUGGUGUCCCUCAUCCCUAUCUCUUUCUGUCUCUCUCUCCUGGAUAUUUUAUCGAGAUUGAGUAUAUCUGCAUUAAAUCCAACUAAAUUAAUUAUUUUUUA